ensembl:lncRNA
AGAGAGAGAGAGAGAGGGGGAGAGAGAGAGACAGAGAGAGAGAGAGAGAGAGAGAGAGAGACAGAGAGAGAGAGCCAACCCAACCAGCUCAUCCUUAGGCAAUGUCUUCUUUGUCCUCAGCUGUAGCACAUAGGCCUAGUUCAGUAGUUCAGUAUAAAACACUCAUUUGCCAAUUCAAUCCAGGAAAAAAGCAGAGACAUAAACACGGAAAUUUGUCCAACCAGCAUAUGCGUAACAAUAAAAGCCCACACAGGAGGGGAAAGUUUGGACGUGAACACUUUUCAGUAUGCCGCCCCCCUCUGAGUGGUCGAUGCAUUACAGGUAAUGGAGCAGGCGAUUUGCUGCCUUGUGCUCUCUUGGUACAACUGAUGCUGUAUCCCUUUGUUGUGGUAAGAGAGGUUGGGGAAAAAAUAAAAUGCAAUUUACAGACUGUCAAGACUAGAGUGAUCUGACUUCAAUCUGAGAGAAAUUAUAGCUGCACGAGGCCUAUAAUCAGAGACAAAGUGGCUCUUUGAGGAUCAGCACAGCGUCGAGUGGCGUAGUGUGGGGCAGAGCGUCCAAAUUACAUGUACUAGCUUUAUUAACAAAGUGCUCCGACUGCAACACCUGAAUCAGCCCUGUCUUUAACGAGGCUCUUGCUACCUGCGCCGCUAAUUGGCCGCCUACCCAUUCUCCCCUCCACUGUCUCUCUCCGGCUAACACUACCUGGCCCAAUUUGACUUAAGAAGAGAAACUUUUAGUUUAGUUUGUUGAUUCAACCAUUUAAAAAAAACAAGCACACAUAUAACUUGAAAAUACACAUAUAACUAGAAAAUCGUCAGCAUUACUCCUGAACCUGUAUAAGCACACAUUAACAACACCUGAUCUGGUGCUGGGAUUAUGUGCACCCCUAACACGAGGAAAGUCAUCAGUUAGAUAUCUGGGCGCAGAACCAGAAAUACUCCUGUAAAUCAAACAUAGCUCAAUGGGACUCUGGGAGAGGCACUACAACGUCUAGGGUGGUGACUUGCUGUUAUAAGUUCAGCAGGUCGGUGUUCUGUUGUUGUCACAGCUUGUUAAUAGUCUAAAAUACUGAAGAAGGUGCAGGGGAACUUGAAGAGUGGAACCUUUUUCUCACUCUAAAGCACACACCUGAGUUAAAAGAGGCUACAUGUCAAAUCUGACUGAGUUAAACAGAGGCUACAUGUAAAUCUUGACUGAGUUAAAAGAGGCUACAUGGCUACAUGUCAAUCUUGACUGAGUUAAAAGAGGCUACAUGGCUACAUGUCAACCCUGACUGAGUUAAAAGAGGCUACAUGGCUACAUGUCAACCUUGACUGAGUUAAAAGAGGCUACAUGGCUACAUGUCAAACCUGACUGAGUUAAAAGAGGCUACAUGUCAACCCUGACUGAGUUAAAAGAGGCUACAUGGCAACCCUGACUGAGUUAAAAGAGGCUACAUGUCAACCCUGACAGAGUUAAAAGAGGCUACAUGUCAACCCUGACAGAUUAAAAGAGGCUACAUGGCUACAUGUCAAACCUGACUGAGUUAAAAGAGGCUACAUGUCAACCCUGACUGAGUUAAAAGAGGCUACAUGUCAACCCUGACUGAGUUAAAAGAGGCUACAUGGCAACACUGACUGAGUUAAAAGAGGCUACAUGUCAACCCUGACUGAGUUAAAAGAGGCUACAUGUCAACCCUGACUGAGUUAAAAGAGGCUACAUGUCAACCCUGACUGAGUUAAAAGAGGC